CGGGAAGGCCGAUGCUUGCAUUGGCUGGAGAGUGGCGAACGGGUGAGUAACACGUAGGUGACGUGCCCUGAAGAGGGGGACAACAGGUGGAAACGCCUGCUAAUACCCCAUAAGUUGCGGAUGUCAAGUUGGCAACGAAAACUCCGGUGCUUCAGGAGUGGCCUGCGGUCCAUCAGCUAGUUGGUGAGGUAACGGCUCACCAAGGCGAAGACGGAUAGGGGGCGUGAGAGCGUGACCCCCCACACUGGUACUGACACACGGACCAGAUACCUACGGGUAGCAGCAGCGAGGAAUAUUGCGCAAUGGGGGCAACCCUGACGCAGCAACGCCGCGUGAAGGACGAAGGCCUUCGGGUCGUAAACUUCUUUUCUGAGGGAAGAGAACGGACGGUACCUCAGGAAUAAGGCCCGGCUAACUACGUGCCAGCAGCCGCGGUAACACGUAGGGGCCAAGCGUUAUCCGGAAUUACUGGGCGUAAAGGGCGUGCAGGCGGUUUAGAAAGUUGGAUGUGAAAGCUCCUGGCUCAACUGGGAGAGGCCAUUCAAAACUACUAGACUAGAGGGCGAUAGAGGAAAGUGGAAUUCCCGGUGUAGCGGUGAAAUGCGUAGAUAUCGGGAGGAACACCAGUGGCGAAGGCGGCUUUCUGGGUCGACCCUGACGCUGAGACGCGACAGCUAGGGGAGAGAACGGGAUUAGAAACCCCGGUAUUCCUAGCCGUAAACGAUGUCAACUAGGUGUGGGAGGAGGCAACUCCUUCUGUACUGCAGUAAACACAGUAAGUUGACCGCCUGGGGAGUACGGCCGCAAGGCUAAAACUCAAAGGAAUUGGCGGGGA
rnacentral:rRNA from 1 species